rnacentral:rRNA from 1 species
GAUGAACGCUGGCGGCGUGCUUAACACAUGCAAGUCGAACGGAAAGGCCCAAGCUUGCUUGGGUACUCGAGUGGCGAACGGGUGAGUAACACGUGGGUGAUCUGCCCUGCACUUCGGGAUAAGCCUGGGAAACUGGGUCUAAUACCGGAUAGGACCACUUCUUGGAUGUUGUGGUGGAAAGUUUUUUCGGUGUGGGAUGAGCUCGCGGCCUAUCAGCUUGUUGGUGGGGUAAUGGCCUACCAAGGCGUCGACGGGUAGCCGGCCUGAGAGGGUGUACGGCCACAUUGGGACUGAGAUACGGCCCAGACUCCUACGGGAGGCAGCGGUGGGGAAUAUUGCACAAUGGGCGCAAGCCUGAUGCAGCGACGCCGCGUGGGGGAUGACGGCCUUCGGGUUGUAAACUCCUUUCGCUAGGGACGAAGCGUUUUGUGACGGUACCUGGAGAAGAAGCACCGGCUAACUACGUG